rnacentral:misc_RNA from 1 species
GAUGAAGAACGUAGCGAAACGCGAUAUGUAAUGUGAAUUGCAGAAUUCAGUGAAUCAUCGAAUCUUUGAACGCACAUGGCGCCUUCCAGUAUCCUGGGAGGCAUGCCUGUCCGAGCGUCGUUUCAACCCUCGAGCCCUCGUGGCCCGGCGUUGGGGAUCUGCCACGGCAGGCCCCGAAAUACAGUGGCGGACCCGUUAGGCCCUUCCUUUGCGUAGUAGCAUCAGCCUCGCAUCGGGAGCCGGCGGGCUCACCUGCCACUAAACCCCCCAACAAGCCCGCUCCGGCGGCACCAAGGUUGACCUCGGAUCAGGUAGGAAUACCCGCUGAACUUAAGCAUAUCAAUAAGCGGAGGA